GACGAACGCUGGCGGCGUGCUUAACACAUGCAAGUCGAACGGAAAGGCCCUGCUUUUGUGGGGUGCUCGAGUGGCGAACGGGUGAGAAACACGUGAGUAACCUGCCCUUGACUUUGGGAUAACUUCAGGAAACUGGGGCUAAUACCGGAUAGGAGCUCCUGCUGCAGGGUGGGGGUUGGAAAGUUUCGGCGGUUGGGGAUGGACUCGCGGCUUAUCAGCUUGUUGGUGGGGUAGUGGCUUACCAAGGCUUUGACGGGUAGCCGGCCUGAGAGGGUGACCGGCCACAUUGGGACUGAGAUACGGCCCAGACUCCUACGGGAGGCAGCAGUGGGGAAUAUUGCACAAUGGGCGGAAGCCUGAUGCAGCAACGCCGCGUGCGGGAUGACGGCCUUCGGGUUGUAAACCGCUUUCGCCUGUGACGAAGCGUGAGUGACGGUAAUGGGUAAAGAAGCACCGGCUAACUACGUG
rnacentral:rRNA from 1 species